AUAGUAAACUACGACGUUUUUCUGUCUAUUUUCGGAUGACAUACUUAACUGUGACGUUUUUGUCCAUUUUCGUAUGAUGUACUCAGCUUUGACAGUUUUUUGUCCAUUUUCGGGUGACAUUCUCAACUAUGACGUUUUUUGGUGUUUCCAGAUGACAUACUAAACUAUGACAUUUUUUUGUCCAUUUUCAGACGACAUACUAAACUAUGACGUUUUUGACAUUUUAGGACGACAUACUAAACUAUGACUUUUUUUGUCUAUUUUUAGACGACAUACUAAACGAUGACAUUUUUUUCCAUUUUUGGACAAAAAAUGACGUUUUUUUUGUCCAUUGUCGAAGGACAUAAUAAACCAUGAUGUUUUUUGUAACGUUUUGGAUGACAUACUAAAGUAUUAUGUUUUUGUCCAUCAUACUAAGCUAUGACGUUUUUUGUCCAUUGUUGGAGGACAUAAUAAACCAUGAUGUUUUUGUCCAUUUUCGGACGACAUACUAAACUAUGACGUUUUUUUGUUCCAUUCUGGAUGAGAGAAGAAGAGUGGGGGGAGACAUGCAGCAAAUGGGUGCAAGCAGAAUUUGAACCCAGGCUGCUGCGUCAGAGACCAACCUCUUCAUAUGUGUCGCCCGCUUUACCUGUUGAGCUAUACAGACGACAUACUAAACUAUGACCUAUUUUGGCAUUUUCGGACAACAGAAGGAGAACAUGGGAAGACAUGCAGCAAAGCACCGCAAGCAGGAAUCGAACCCAGGCCGCUACGUCGGAGACCAGUCUUUGUACACGGGUCGCCCGCUUAACCCAUUGAGCUAUACGGGGACCCCAACUACAACUUUUUAUACUAAACCAUGAUAUUUUGGUCUUGUUUUGGCUGACAUACUAAACCAUGACGUUCAUUGACGACAUACUAAACUAUGACAUUUUUUCGUCCAUUUUCGGACGACAUAUGAAACUAUGACGUUUUUUGUCCAUUUUCGGACGAUAUACUAAACUGUGACGUUUUUUUGUCCAUUUUUGGACGACAUACUAAACUAUGACCUUUUUUUGUCCAUUUUUAGAUGACAUACUGAACGAUGACAUUUUUUCCAUUUUCGGACAAAAAAUGACUUUUGUUGUCCAUUGUCGGAGGACAUGAUAAACCAUGACGUUUUUUGUCCUGUCUUGGACGACAUACUAAACUAUGACAUUUUUUUCUAUUUUCAGACAAAAAAUGAUGUUUUUUUGUCCAUUGUCGGAGGGCAUACUCAACCAUGACGUUUUUUGUCAUAAUUGGAACGACAUGCCAAACUAUGACCUUUUUGUCACGUUUUGGACGACAUACUAAACUAUGAUGUUUUGUCCAUUUUCGGACAAAAAAGGACGUUUUUGGUCCAUUUUCGGACGAUAUAGUAAACUACGACGUUUAUCUGUCUAUUUUCGGAUGACAUACUAAACUGUGACGUUUUUGUCCAUUUUCGGACGACGUACUCAGCUUUGACAGUUUUUUGUCCAUUUUCGGGUGACAUACUCAACUAUGACGUUUUUGUCCAUUUUCGGACGACAUACUAAACUAUGACAUUUUUUUUGUCCAUUUUUAGACGACAUACUAAACGAUGACAUUUUUUUCCAUUUUCGGACAAAAGAUGACACUUUUUGUCCAUUGUUGGAGGACAUGAUAAACCAUGAUGUUUUUUGUCCUGUUUUGGACGACAUACUAAAUUAUGAUGUUUUUUGUUCCGUUCUGGAUGACAGAAGAAGAGUGGGGGGAGACAUGCAGCAACGGGCCGCAAGCAGGAUUCGAACCUGGGCCACUGUGUCAGAGACCAGCCUCUGUAUAUGGGUUGCCCACUUAACCCGUUGAGCUAUACAGAUGCAUCUUGACGUAACACGUUCAUGCACAUUUCAGUCUUUAGCUGCUGAAUUCACGGAUGAAUCAUCUGGCACUGGAGAGGAAGACCAUCAAACAUCCACCCCAGCUGAUGGCGGUCCAAGAGUCUCACCAACAAACAACCUACAGAGUGAAGACCUCAAAACUUAUUGAUCGGUCUCCUGUUUAGUCACAUGUGUGAACAAAUGCCUCUAAGUAAAUUUGUUUCCUAAAAUAAAUCUAGUUUGAGUCCUAA